rnacentral:rRNA from 1 species
CAGCCGCCGCGGUAAUACGGAGGGUGCAAGCGUUAUCCGGAUUCACUGGGUUUAAAGGGUGCGUAGGCGGGCAGGUAAGUCAGUGGUGAAAUUUUCGAGCUUAACUCGGAAACUGCCGUUGAUACUAUCUGUCUUGAAUAACGUUGAGGUGAGCGGAAUAUGUCAUGUAGCGGUGAAAUGCUUAGAUAUGACAUAGAACACCGAUUGCGAAGGCAGCUCACUAAACGCUCAUUGACGCUGAGGCACGAAAGCGUGGGGAGCAAACAGGAUUAGAUACCCCAGUAGUCCCUGUCUCUUAUAC